UACGUAGGGGGCAAGCGUUGUCCGGAUUUAUUGGGCGUAAAGAGCGUGUAGGCGGCCAGGUAAGUCCGUUCUGAAAGCCCGGGGCUCAACCCCGGGAGGCGGAUGGAUACUGCUUGGCUCGAGUCCGGAAGAGGCGAGUGGAAUUCCCGGUGUAGCGGUGAAAUGCGCAGAUAUCGGGAGGAACACCAAUGGCGAAGGCAGCUCGCUGGGACGGUACUGACGCUGAGACGCGAAAGCGUGGGGAGCAAACAGG
rnacentral:rRNA from 1 species